UACGGAGGGUGCAAGCGUUAUCCGGAUUCACUGGGUUUAAAGGGUGCGUAGGUGGGAUGGUAAGUCAGUGGUGAAAUCUCCAAGCUUAACUUGGAACUGCCGUUGAUACUAUCAUUCUUGAAUCUCGUGGAGGUAAGCGGAAUAUGUCAUGUAGCGGUGAAAUGCUUAGAUAUGACAUAGAACACCGAUAGCGAAGGCAGCUUACUACAGGAUGAUUGACGCUGAGGCACGAAAGCGUGGGGAGCAAACAGG
rnacentral:rRNA from 1 species